rnacentral:rRNA from 1 species
CGGCGGACGGGUGAGUAACGCGUGGGUAACCUGCCUCAUACAGGGGAUAACAGUUGGAAACGGCUGCUAAUACCGCAUAAGCGCACAGUACCGCAUGGUACCGUGUGAAAAACUCCGGUGGUAUGAGAUGGACCCGCGUCUGAUUAGGUAGUUGGUGGGGUAACGGCCUACCAAGCCGACGAUCAGUAGCCGACCUGAGAGGGUGACCGGCCACAUUGGGACUGAGACACGGUCCAA